CUGCUCAGGACGAACGCUGGCGGCGUGCUUAACACAUGCAAGUCGAACGAUGAUGCCCAGCUUGCUGGGUGGAUUAGUGGCGAACGGGUGAGUAACACGUGAGUAACCUGCCCCUGACUCUGGGAUAAGCGUUGGAAACGACGUCUAAUACUGGAUAUGACUGCCGGCCGCAUGGUCUGGUGGUGGAAAGAUUUUUUGGUUGGGGAUGGACUCGCGGCCUAUCAGCUUGUUGGUGAGGUAAUGGCUCACCAAGGCGACGACGGGUAGCCGGCCUGAGAGGGUGACCGGCCACACUGGGACUGAGACACGGCCCAGACUCCUACGGGAGGCAGCAGUGGGGAAUAUUGCACAAUGGGCGAAAGCCUGAUGCAGCAACGCCGCGUGAGGGAUGACGGCCUUCGGGUUGUAAACCUCUUUUAGUAGGGAAGAAGCGAAAGUGACGGUACCUGCAGAAAAAGCACCGGCUAACUACGUGCCAGCAGCCGCGGUAAUACGUAGGGUGCAAGCGUUGUCCGGAAUUAUUGGGCGUAAAGAGCUCGUAGGCGGUUUGUCGCGUCUGCUGUGAAAUCCCGAGGCUCAACCUCGGGCUUGCAGUGGGUACGGGCAGACUAGAGUGCGGUAGGGGAGAUUGGAAUUCCUGGUGUAGCGGUGGAAUGCGCAGAUAUCAGGAGGAACACCGAUGGCGAAGGCAGAUCUCUGGGCCGUAACUGACGCUGAGGAGCGAAAGCGUGGGGAGCGAACAGGAUUAGAUACCCUGGUAGUCCACGCCGUAAACGUUGGGCGCUAGAUGUAGGGACCUUUCCACGGUUUCUGUGUCGUAGCUAACGCAUAAGCNCCCCGC
rnacentral:rRNA from 1 species